AGCUGUUCCCGCCACCCUGGCCCCCAACAUCGCGCCCACCUGUCUGCUAGAGUUCUGUGCCCCUUCCCAGGAACUCUCGCAGGAAGUGUUUCAGGUGUUGUCCACAUCUCCAGCCCGACUUUCUCUAACCACUGGCAUCGUCUCUCCCAUUGAUCUGGCCAAUGAUGCCACUGACGUCGAGCCAGGCGCCGAAGAAGAGGACGCUGGCAGUCUGGUGAACAGCAAGGUCCGCGCUAUUUGUGACUACUUCACCCAGGAACAAGGACAUCUGACCUUCAGCAAGGGUCAGGUGAUUAAGCAGAAGGUUGCACGGGAUGAACACGGCCACUGUUUUGGUUGGACCAAAAAUGGGCGAUUCGCGCCGAAACGUUAUGGAUUCUAUCCGGCCGAAUACGUCUCCUUCUAUCAGAAGUAGGCGUGUGAAUGCACAGUUUGGUGUCACCUCAACUAUUUAUACUACUCUAUUACAAGUGUGCCAGAUCUAAGUAUUUAUGUACAGUAUAUCUGGACUUUUGUGAAAACAAACUGAUGGCUGUUUUUAUCUUUACAGCGUUGUUUUAGAAGUCUUUCACAACGUCUUAAUAAUAAAGCCUGUUCGUUGAACAUUUCCUGUAUUCAAACAAGAGUUACACAUCCUAAGGCUGACUGAUAUGACGUGUAAUUUUGUCCACUGCUCAGAUUGCACAAUCGUGCUCCUUGUGUCAUGAGCUCCAUCAGUACCUGUGUACUACGAUACACCUUCCUCAGUUUCCACAUUCAUCUUGUUUAUAAUCGAAAUAACAAAUUAUUAGUCCGGUUACAAUAACACCUGUCUGCUGUUAAUAUCAUAGCAUAAGCUAUGGAUAUCAAAUAAGGACGUCAUACGUUUUGGAGCUUAGAUAAGAUGGGCAUACGUAUUGGAUAUCAUAGAAGAACGACAUGCGUUUUCGAUAUCAGAUAAGACAGGCAUAUAUACGUUUUAGAUAUCUGGUAAGAAAAGCAUAGGAUUUGGAGCUCAGAUAGGAUCGGCCUACGUCAUCGAUGUCAAAUAAGAACGGCGUAAGUUUUGGAGAUUAGAUAAGAUCGAUAUACAUCAUGUAAAUACGGUAUACGUUUGAGUAUCAGGUACCAAUAGCAUAUGUUCUCGAUAUCAGAUAAGAACAACAUGUAUCCGUUUGCGAUAUUGGAUAAGAACGACAUAGACCUAUACACGUUUGGGAUAUCAGAGAAGAAUGGCGUAUAGAGGUUUGGGUUAUCACAUAAGAACG